UACAGUCUUCAAGGAACUGUGAACACUAUAGACAAGACAAUGUCAUCGCUCUUAUGGAACUUACAUUUUAGAAAAAGGAGACAUCAUAAAGAAGUUCAGCAUCCUGAAUCCAAAACUCCAAAAACCAAAAUGUUCCAAAAUCUGAAACUUUUUGAGUACUGACAUGACAUCACAAGCAGAAAAUUCCACACCUGACACCUUUGCUUUCCAAAGAUUCAAUGUAUACAAACUUUAUUUCAUGCACAAAAU
rnacentral:lncRNA from 1 species